UUGAACGCUGGCGGCAUGCUUUACACAUGCAAGUCGAACGGUAACAGGGGCUUCGGCCCGCUGACGAGUGGCGAACGGGUGAGUAAUGCGUCGGAACGCACCGAGUAAUGGGGGAUAACGCAGCGAAAGCUGUGCUAAUACCGCAUACGCUCCGAGGAGGAAAGCAGGGGAUCGUAAGACCUUGCGUUAUUCGAGCGGCCGACGUCUGAUUAGCUAGUUGGUGGGGUAAAGGCUCACCAAGGCGACGAUCAGUAGCGGGUCUGAGAGGAUGAUCCGCCACACUGGGACUGAGACACGGCCCAGACUCCUACGGGAGGCAGCAGUGGGGAAUUUUGGACAAUGGGCGCAAGCCUGAUCCAGCCAUGCCGCGUGUCUGAAGAAGGCCUUCGGGUUGUAAAGGACUUUUGUCCGGGAGCAAAUGCCGGUGGCUAAUAUCCACUGGAGCUGAGAGUACCGGAAGAAUAAGCACCGGCUAACUACGUGCCAGCAGCCGCGGUAAUACGUAGGGUGCAAGCGUUAAUCGGAAUUACUGGGCGUAAAGCGUGCGCAGGCGGUUGUGCAAGUCUGAUGUGAAAGCCCCGGGCUCAGCCUGGGAACGGCAUUGGAGACUGCACAGCUAGAGUGCGUCAGAGGGGGGUAGAAUUCCACGUGUAGCAGUGAAAUGCGUAGAGAUGUGGAGGAAUACCGAUGGCGAAGGCAGCCCCUGGGCCUGACACUGACGCUCAUGCACGAAAGCGUGGGGAGCAAACAGGAUUAGAUACCCUGGUAGUCCACGCCCUAAACGAUGUCAACUAGGUUGUUGGACGGCUUUGCAUCGUUCGGUAGCGUAGCUAACGCGUGAAAUUGACCGCCUGGGGAGUACGGCCGCAAGGUUUAAAACUCAAAGGAGUUGACGGGGACCCGCACAAGCGGUGGAUGAUGUGGAUUUAAUUCGAUGCAACGCGAAAAACCUUACCUGCUCUUGACAUGUCCGGAACCUCGCAGAGACGUGAGGGUGCCCGAAAGGAGACCUGGAACACAGGUGCUGCAUGGCCGUCGUCAGCUCGUGUCGUGAGAUGUUGGGUUAAGUCCCGCAACGAGCGCAACCCUUAGUCAUUAGUUGCUACUCAUAGUGGGCACUCUAAUGAGACUGCCGGUGACAAACCGGAGGAAGGUGGGGAUGACGUCAAGGUCCUCAUGGCCCUUAUGAGUAGGGCUUCACACGUCAUACAAUGGCUCGGUACAGAGGGUCUGCCAAGCCGCGAGGUGGAGCCUAAUCUCAUAAAACCGAUCGUAGUCCGGAUCGCACUCUGCAACUCGAGCUGCGUGAAGUCGGAAUCGCUAGUAAUCGCAGAUCAGCAUUGCCUGCGGUGAAUACGUUCCCGGGUCUUGUACACACCGCCCGUCACACCAUGGGAGCUGGGGGCUACCAGAAGUGGUUAGGCCUAACCUCAGGGAGUCGGUUACCACGGUAUGCUUCAUGACUGGGGUG
rnacentral:rRNA from 1 species